rnacentral:rRNA from 1 species
AGAGAGAGACAUGCGCGCAUAUCAAUAAGCGGAGGAAAAGAAACUAACAAGGAUUCCCUUAGUAACGGCGAGUGAAGCGGGAAGAGCUCAAAUUUGAAAUCUUCAAGGUUUUACCUUGACGAAUUGUAGUUUAAAGAAGUGUUUUCUGCUGAAGUUUUGGUAAAAGUUCUUUGGAAUAGGACAUCAUAGAGGGUGAGAAUCCCGUAUUUGACCAUUAUUUUCAGCUUUGUGAUACACUUUCAAAGAGUCGGAUUGUUUGGGAAUGCAGUCCAAAAUGGGUGGUAAAUUUCAUCUAAAGCUAAAUAUUGGCGAGAGACCGAUAGCGAACAAGUACCGUGAGGGAAAGAUGAAAAGAACUUUGAAAAGAGAGUUAAACAGUACGUGAAAUUGUCAAAAGGGAAGCGUUUGACACCAGUGUUGUUUUCUCGAAAAUCAAUUAAAAAUGGCUCGAUUUUGUAUUGUUGAGACCUUAAAAGCUCACUGUACAUUUUUCGUGUCUUUUUUAAUGCACUUUUCGUUUAACAAGUCAACAUCAGUUUCUUUUGUUGUAAAAGGGUACAUUGGAAGGUGGCUUUCUUUUCGGAGAAAGUGUUUAUAGCCUUUGGCCUCUGCAAUCGGAGAGACUGAGGUCUGCAGCGUAGACUCUUCGGGGUUAGAUACAUUUGUGCUAAGUUAUAGCUUUUUAUAGACAACUUGUUGACUAUAAUUAGUCUUGUAGCUUACUCGCUUAUGCUAUUUUACCUACGCUUAGGAUGUUGAGUCGUAGAGCACGCAG